rnacentral:rRNA from 1 species
GAUGAACGCUGGCGGCGUGCUUAACACAUGCAAGUCACGGGGGCCAGCAAUGGCAACCGGCGAACGGGUGCGUAACACGUGAGCAACCUACCGAAAUGAGGGGGAUAGCCGUCCCAACGGACGGGUAAUACCGCAUACGCUAGAGACCAGGCAUUUGGUUUCUAGGAAACCUCCGGGGCAUUUCGAGGGGCUCGCGGCCUAUCAGCUAGUUGGUGAGGUAACGGCUCACCAAGGCGACGACGGGUAGCUGGUCUGAGAGGAUGGCCAGCCACAUUGGGACUGAGAUACGGCCCAGACUCCUACGGGAGGCACCAGUGGGGAAUCUUGCGCAAUGGCCUAGCGGCUGACGCAGCGACGCCGCGUGAGGGAUGACGCUCUUCGGAGUGUAAACCUCUUUUGCCUGAGACGAAUUGUCAGCUUUAGCUGAUUUGACUGUAUCGGGUGAAUAAGCACCGGCUAACUCCGUGCCAGCAGCCGCGGUAAUACGGGGGGUGCGAGCGUUGUCCGGAAUCACUGGGCGUAAAGGGCGCGUAGGUGGCCUGAUAAGGGUGUGGUGAAAGUCCGGGGCUCAACCCCGGAUCUGCCGUGCCGACUGUUAGGCUAGAGUACUGUAGGGGCAGGCGGANUUCCGGGUGUAGCGGUGGAAUGCGUAGAGAUCCCGAGGAAGACCGGUGGCGAAGCGGCCUGC